rnacentral:rRNA from 1 species
AUACGUAGGGGGCGAGCGUUGUCCGGAUUUAUUGGGCGUAAAGAGCUCGUAGGCGGCUCAGCAAGUCGGCCGUGAAAGCCUGAGGCUCAACCUCAGGACGCCGGUCGAAACUGCUGUGGCUAGGGUUCGGUAGAGGAGAGUGGAAUUCCCGGUGUAGCGGUGAAAUGCGCAGAUAUCGGGAGGAACACCAGUAGCGAAGGCGGCUCUCUGGGCCGACACCGACGCUGAGGAGCGAAAGCUAGGGGAGCAAACAGGAUUAGAAACCCCAGUAGUCC